UUGGAGGGCAAGUCUGGUGCCAGCAGCCGCGGUAAUUCCAGCUCCAAUAGCGUAUAUUAAAGUUGUUGCAGUUAAAAAGCUCGUAGUUGAAUUUCGAGACCGGUUUACUGGUCGUGCUUUUGUACGUACUGGUAUUAUUGGUUUCUCCUUUCUGACGAACUAUAAUGCCAUUAAUUUGGUGUUAUAGGGAAUCAGGACUGUUACUUUGAAAAAAUUAGAGUGUUUAAAGCAGGCUCACGCUUGAAUACAUUAGCAUGGAAUAACGGAAUAGGACGUUUGAUUCUAUUUUGUUGGUUUCUAGGAUCGACGUAAUGAUUAAUAGGGAUAGUUGGGGGCAUUAGUAUUCAAUUGUCAGAGGUGAAAUUCUUGGAUUUAUUGAAGACUAACUACUGCGAAAGCAUUUGCCAAGGAUGUUUUCAUUAAUCAAGAACGAAAGUUAGGGGAUCGAAGACGAUCAGAUACCGUCGUAGUCUUAACCAUAAACUAUGCCGACUAGGGAUCGGAUGAUGUUAAUUUUUUAAUGACUCAUUCGGCGCCUUACGGGAAAC
rnacentral:rRNA from 1 species